rnacentral:rRNA from 1 species
GACGAACGCUGGCGGCGUGCUUAACACAUGCAAGUCGAACGGUAAGGCCCUUCGGGGUACACGAGUGGCGAACGGGUGAGUAACACGUGGGUGAUCUGCCCUGCACUUCGGGAUAAGCCUGGGAAACUGGGUCUAAUACCGGAUAGGACCACUGCCUGCAUGGGUGGUGGUGGAAAGCUUUUGCGGUGUGGGAUGGGCCCGCGGCCUAUCAGCUUGUUGGUGGGGUGAUGGCCUACCAAGGCGACGACGGGUAGCCGGCCUGAGAGGGUGACCGGCCACACUGGGACUGAGGUACGGCCCAGACUCCUACGGGAGGCAGCAGUGGGGAAUAUUGCACAAUGGGCGCAAGCCUGAUGCAGCGCCGCCGCGUGAGGGAUGACGGCCUUCGGGUUGUAAACCUCUUUCAGCACCGACGAAGCGCAAGUGACGGUAGGUGCAGAAGAAGGACCGGCCAACUACGUGCCAGCCGCCGCGGUAAUAC